GCGAACGCUAGCGGCGGGCUUAACACAUGCAAGUCGAGCGGGGAACUUCGGUUCCUAGCGGCGAACGGGUGAGUAACACGUAGGUCACGUGCCCCAUGGUUCGGGAUACCCCAGGGAAACCUGGCUCAAUACCGGAUAUCGUCUUUCGGGAUGAAAGCCUUCGGGCGCCAAGGGAUCGGCCUGCGGCCCAUUAUCUAAUCCUAGUUGGUAGGGUAACGGCCUACCAAGGGUACGAUGGGUAGCUGGUCUGAGAGGAUGGUCAGCCACACUGGGACUGAGACACGGCCCAGACUCCUACGGGAGGCAGCAGUGGGGAAUAUUGCGCAAUGGGCGAAAGCCUGACGCAGCCACGCCGCGUGUGUGAUGAAGGCCUUCGGGUUGUAAAGCACUGUCGGGAGGGAAGAAGGCACUUAUGUGCUUGACGGUACCUCGCAAGAAAGCACCGGCUAACUCCGU
rnacentral:rRNA from 1 species